GGAGAAUAAAGAAAAAUUAGCAAGGAAGAUUCGAGAGAAGGAGAAGAAAAGAAAAAGAAGAAGAAGAAGUGGGUUUUCACGCUUGGGUUCUCCAUUUCUUCAAUUUCUCCACUGAUUUAGAGAUGUAUGUGGCACCGUGGCAUGCGAGGCAUGCAAUUGUGUUGGCCACAAGUGAGACUUCUCAAGUGAUCGCAAGGGUGGUUAUGGGAUGUGAUCAUGGGAGGAUUGACCACUUGCUUGUGCCAUUGUGAUAUGGUGAUUUUUAGUAUCUCGGGUGGUAUACUUCCUGGCUAAUCAUGGGGGCUAUCAGGUAGCAAUUGGUUUUUGAUAGCGUGAGGAGCUUGAUAAUUUUAGAGUUAGAGCUACACGACAUAUUGAAUGAUAUGAGUCAUUUGGAUUCAACAUGAGAUAAUUAUUUUGGACACAUCACAUUAUAUUUUUCACAAGCAUUUGAUUUUGGCACAUGUUUUAUAGUAACUCAUAUUCAGCAUUGGUGAUGGAUCUGACAUCUAAUCAGCAUCAAUUAUCGACGAACGUUACAUUUUGGUCCACUAGGAUGAUUAGGGACAAGUCAUGUCAUGUAGCCCAUGUAGGAAUCUUUGUUAAAGGGACGUACAUUUCGUUGGAUAUCCUCGCCAUUAUUAGUUCCUGCUAGCCCUCAUCAAAUGCAUCCAUUUUGACAAUUCUUGCUCUCUGUGGAUUAUGUAUAUGUGAGUGAGUAUGUAUCUGUGUAUUUGAUUUUGACAACAUCAAAUGUAGAGAAGAAAGUGGUGGGUAAUAGGUGGUA